UUUGGCAAGUGAUGAAGACGAUCUUAUCCUACACUCUGAUAAUUUUUGUUGACAACAACUCCGCUUAUUAUCUGAUGCCAUU